GUAAUAACUCCGCCUGUAGCUCUACCGGAGGCUACUGCCGGUCCCAAGCCUGGAUAAAGGAAGAGGGUUGG
ncrna:Schistosoma mansoni type-P1 twister ribozyme